rnacentral:ncRNA from 12 species
CUCUAAUAUUCAGUGAGAUUAUAUAUUUUAAGGAAUGUAUACAGUGCAGAUGUUAGAUAUUAAAGGAAACUUAUUCCUUCUUAAAAGGAAUUUUAAGUAAAGAUGAAUUAGAGAUAUCUAUAUUAGUAAACAAUUUUGCUGAAUAUAUAGAUGUUUC